GCCACGGGUGGGGCUAGACUGCUAGUCGUGCGCUUCCUAGCCAUGCUGGAGGCGCGGCGCACAGCUCAGUAGCACGUGGCCAACCUACCCUUGAGACAGGAACAACCCCGGGAAACUGGGGCUAAUUCCUGAUAGGUGAAGACUCCUGGAAUGGAUCCUCGCCCAAAGGGCAUCUGGGGCAUGCUCCUAGAUGUUGCUCAAGGAUGGGGCCGCGGCCGAUCAGGUUGUUGGUGAGGUAACGGCUCACCAAGCCUUUAACCGGUUCGGGCCGUGGGAGCGGAAGCCCGGAGAUGGGUGCUGAGACAAGAACCCAGGCCCUACGGGGCGCAGCAGUCGCGAAAACUUUGCAAUAAGCGAAAGCUUGACAGGGCUAUCCCGAGUGCCGUCCGCUGAGGAUGGCUUUUACCCAGUAUAGAUAGCUGGGAGAAUAAGGAGAGGGCAAGUCUGGUGUCAGCCGCCGCGGUAAUACCAGCUCUCCGAGUGGUGGGGAUGAUUAUUGGGCCUGAAGCAUCCGUAGCUGGCUGAACAAGUCCCCUGUUAAAUCCAACGAAUUAAUCGCUGGUCUGCGGGGGAUACUGCUCGGCUAGGGGGCGAGAGAGGCCGCCGGUAUUUCCGGGGUAGGGGUGAAAUCCUAUAAUCCCGGGAGGACCACCAGUGGCGAAGGCUGUCGGCUAGAACGCGCCCGACGGUGAGGGAUGAAAGCUGGGGGAGCGAACCGGAUUAGAUACCCGGGUAGUCCCAGCUGUAAACGAUGCAGGCUAGGUGUUAGGGCGGCUACGUGCCUCUCUGGUGCCGCAGGGAAGCUGUUAAGCCUGCCGCCUGGGGGAGUACGGUCGCAAGGCUGAAACUUAAAGGAAUUGGCGGGGGAGCACCACAAGGGGUGAAGCUUGCGGUUUAAUUGGAGUCAACGCCGGG
rnacentral:rRNA from 1 species